rnacentral:rRNA from 1 species
ACGGAGGGUGCAAGCGUUGUUCGGAUUUACUGGGCGUAAAGAGCGUGUAGGCGGUUUAGCAAGUCAGAUGUGAAAGCCCUGGGCUCAACCCGGGAAGUGCAUUUGAAACUGCUUCACUAGAGUAUGGGAGAGGAGAUUGGAAUUCCUGGUGUAGAGGUGAAAUUCGUAGAUAUCAGGAGGAACACCCGUGGCGAAGGCGAUUCUCUGGACCAAUACUGACGCUGAGACGCGAAAGCGUGGGGAGCAAACAGGAUUAGAUACCCUGGUAGUCCACGCCCUAAACGAUGGGCACUAGGUGCAGGGGGUGUUGACCCCUCCUGUGCCGCAGCUAACGCAUUAAGUGCCCCGCCUGGGGAGUACGGCCGCAAGGUUGAAACUCAAAGGAAUUGACGGGGGUCCGCACAAGCGGUGGAUCAUGUGGUUUAAUUCGAUGAUACGCGAAGAACCUUACCUGGGCUUGAACUGUACCUGACAGGUGUAGAGAUACACUCUCCUUCGGGCAGGUAUAGAGGUGCUGCAUGGUUGUCGUCAGCUCGUGUCGUGAGAUGUUGGGUUAAGUCCCGCAACGAGCGCAACCCUUACCCCUUGUUGCUAACAGGUAAUGCUGUGCACUCUAGGGGGACAGCCGGUGACAAGCCGGAGGAAGGUGAGGAUGACGUCAAAUCAGCACGGCCCUUAUGUCCAGGGCUACACACGUGAUACAAUGGCCGGUACAAAGAGUUGCGAUACCGCGAGGUGGAGCCAAUCUCAAAAAACCGGUCCCCAUCAAUUGCAGUCUGCAACUCGACUGCAUGAAGUUGGAAUCGCUAG